UACGUAGGGUGCAAGCGUUGUCCGGAAUUAUUGGGCGUAAAGGGCUCGUAGGCGGUCCAUCACGUCGGGAGUGAAAAGCUGGGGCUUAACCCCAGUCCUGCUUCCGAUACGGGUGGACUAGAGGUAGGCAGGGGAGAACGGAAUUCCUGGUGUAGCGGUGAAAUGCGUAGAUAUCGGGAGGAACACCUGUGGCGAAAGCGGCGCACUGGACCAUAACUGACGCUGAGGCGCGAAAGCUAGGGGAGCAAACAGG
rnacentral:rRNA from 1 species